UUUUUACGGGAGGCAGCAGUGAGGAAUAUUGGUCAAUGGGCGAGAGCCUGAACCAGCCAAGUCGCGUGAAGGAUGACUGUCUUAUGGAUUGUAAACUUCUUUUGUAGGGGAAGUAAAGAAGAGGCACGUGUGCCUCAGUGAAUGUACCCUGNGAAUAAGCAUCGGCUAACUCCAUGCCAGCAGCCGCGGUAAUAAAA
rnacentral:rRNA from 1 species